GCACCCUAGCGGCAGCAAAUGUAAUUUGUAGCCAGGAUAUUCUAGCAACUCACUGUUGGCGUGCAAGCUGGAAAAACCAAACUCUAGUCAGGCCAAUCACAUUGUGUAUAGAGUCGGUGGGUGGGCUUA